rnacentral:rRNA from 1 species
CUCCGACUUCAUGGGGUCGAGUUGCAGACCCCAAUCCGAACUGAGACCGGCUUUUUGGGAUUCGCUCCACCUUACGGUAUCGCAGCCCUCUGUACCGGCCAUUGUAGCAUGCGUGAAGCCCAAGACAUAAGGGGCAUGAUGAUUUGACGUCAUCCCCACCUUCCUCCGAGUUGACCCCGGCAGUCUCCCAUGAGUCCCCGGCAUAACCCGCUGGCAACAUAGGACGAGGGUUGCGCUCGUUGCGGGACUUAACCCAACAUCUCACGACACGAGCUGACGACAACCAUGCACCACCUGUGUACGAGUGUCCAAAGAGAACCCCGUCUCGGGGGCUUUCUCGUACAUGUCAAGCCUUGGUAAGGUUCUUCGCGUUGCAUCGAAUUAAUCCGCAUGCUCCGCCGCUUGUGCGGGCCCCCGUCAAUUCCUUUGAGUUUUAGCCUUGCGGCCGUACUCCCCAGGCGGGGCACUUAAUGCGUUAGCUGCGGCACGGAACUCGUGGAAUGAGCCCCACACCUAGUGCCCAACGUUUACGGCAUGGACUACCAGGGUAUCUAAUCCUGUUCGCUCCCCAUGCUUUCGCUCCUCAGCGUCAGUUGCGGCCCAGAGACCUGCCUUCGCCAUCGGUGUUCCUCCUGAUAUCUGCGCAUUCCACCGCUACACCAGGAAUUCCAGUCUCCCCUACCGCACUCUAGUCUGCCCGUACCCGAUGCAAGCCCGAGGUUGAGCCUCGGGAUUUCACACCAGACGCGACAGACCGCCUACGAGCUCUUUACGCCCAAUAAUUCCGGACAACGCUUGCGCCCUACGUAUUACCGCGGCUGCUGGCACGUAGUUAGCCGGCGCUUCUUCUGCAGGUACCGUCACUUGCGCUUCUUCCCUGCUGAAAGAGGUUUACAACCCGAAGGCCGUCAUCCCUCACGCGGCGUCGCUGCAUCAGGCUUGCGCCCAUUGUGCAAUAUUCCCCACUGCUGCCUCCCGUAGGAGUCUGGGCCGUGUCUCAGUCCCAGUGUGGCCGGUCGCCCUCUCAGGCCGGCUACCCGUCGACGCUUUGGUAGGCCAUCACCCCACCAACAAGCUGAUAGGCCGCGAGCCCAUCCCCCACCGAAAAACUUUCCAACCCACACCAUGCGAUGCGAGCUCAUAUCCGGUAUUAGACCCCGUUUCCAAGGCUUAUCCCGAAGUGGAGGGCAGGUUGCUCACGUGUUACUCACCCGUUCGCCACUGAUCCACCCAGCAAGCUGGGCUUCACCGUUCGACUGCA